AGCUGCUUCCUUAGGAGGUGUCUCAUUCUGGUCAUGAAUCCUAGAAUUUCAUCCUUCAGAAAUAGCAAUUGCUCUUAUUUUCUGAAGAGUUGGAAGUAAAUAUCUCGAGCACACAAGAACAUCUCUUUUUUUGCCAAGUCUCUUAACGUCUAUAGUCUCUCCACCCUUUGGUGGACUCUCUUGUCAUUACUCUUUUUUUUUUGUUGUUGUUUUUAAAUAGUUUUAUAAGAAUGAUUACCAGGUUUUAAUUAAGUAAAUUUAUCUAUGGUUAUAGUGGUGGUUUUUACCUAAGUUCUUGGAUUCUGCUAUUUGAUGUUCUUCAUGCAAAAUCUGAAAUAGCACUUUUAUUUAACAAACAUAGUCUUUCAAAAAACACUUAAGUAAAUGGUUAAACUCCCCCUUUUUUUUUUUUUUUUCCCUUUUCCUCUUGCCUAUGUGUUUAUGAGCCUUGCUAAUAUGAGGAAUGUGAUGAUAAUAUUAUUCAUAUAUAUAUAUAUAUUUUUGUCAGCUACACAUUUCCCCAGAUCUGUCUUGCAUCAAUCACUCUGAGCCAAAAUCUGUGAUUUCUAAUAAGUAAAGUUCUUGACUCUACAAGAAGUUUUGCUCAAUUUAAGACCUGAAGCAUUUGGCCUGUAUUUUUUCCUGUAUUAAAGAACCCCAUCAUGUUUACAUGAA